CGCUCCUUCGCCCGUGUGUCCUUGCGGUGACCUGGGCCCCCGCCGCCACGCGAGAACAGGCUCGCCCCGCGGCCUAGGCUGCCCUGCCGGCGGGCGGCUGAACCCAGUGGCCACUGGCCGCCCUCCCCGCCGCCUUCCGGCCUGGAGGACUCGAGGACGCGCCCCCGGGGCCUACCUCAGCGACUUCGUGUGCGGCCACCGCGGACGGGUCAGGUGUGGACCUGCCGUAGGCGCCAAAGAGGGGUCCCAGCGCACUUCCCGCGUCCACCCGACCCCUACGGUCCCCGGGGCGUGACCGUCAUACCCCUGCUCUGACCCCAGGGGCCACCUGAUUGGGAGUGUCCGCCGCCAUCAGCGCUUUGGCGAAGGUGACAUUGAGCCACCGGACGCGCCGCUCAGUGUAGGGGCGGGGGAGGUCCCUUAGUGUACCGGCACCGCCGCCCCAGAGUCUUUCGGGAACACAAUAUGCUUCCUUGGUGGGACACAGUAUACUUUAUACUUUUUUUUAAUCAGGCAUUUUCUCGGUUGGCGUUUGUGGGUUACCUUCACAGACCGUUCUGUUAAAUUUUAGAAACUGCUCUGCCACGAUCUAAUUCUUCCACGUGUGUGGUUGUUUCCUGAGGUCGGAAAGAGGCCAUUACUGUUUCGAAAAUGGGGUACCACGGACCAGCAAUACUGGGAUCACAGAUGUGGGGAGGCUUUAUUGUUUGCUUCAGGUUAAAGCCUGUUUGUUGGAGUAUGAAAUGCUUUGCUGAUUCCUGUCUCUUAUUUUUCCUUCUCCUAAUAUAUGUGUUCCCACUGACUGCCCAGCACUAUAAUUUUAAUUAUUAUAACCACAGUUUGAUCUUGGUCCAUGAUGGAUGUAUAUGCUACAUCACUUAGCCCCUAACCAUACAUAUUUUAACAUAUAAACUCACAAACACAAAACUAAUAAGGUUUGCUUGGCUAUUUUGAGUGUUUUAAGUAGACAUUUACACACCUAAGGAAUAUGUUUCCCUUCAUUCAAUUUAAGAUUUUAUCAUUUAUCAUAGAAUGGUAAGGCUGGCAUGCACAUCAGAUCAUGGAGACCAUCUUAUAUUAUAGAAGAAGAAACCAAAGCCCAUCUUGGGGAAACUGACUCCUUAACUAGUGUUAGAAAACAAUACAAAGCUACCAGUCAUCUGAUGAAAUCCAUGCCCAGCAGUGAGGAAAAGAAUUGGUUAUCAUGAAACACUUUAUGGAUCAAAUGGUGAUUUAAGUGAGAAUCCUUUUGCUUGAUCUAGCAGUGACAUUCCAUCUGAAGAACUGGCAGAAAGAGGGAGAGAGAGGGAGAUAGAAACAUCAGUGAUGAAAAAGAGAAUCCUACAUGGACUGCCUCCUGCAUGCCACCUACUAGGGAUCGAACCCGCAACCCGGGGCGUGUGCCCGGACCAGUAAUUGAACCGCGACUUCCUGGUUCAUAAGUCAACCACUGAGCAUCUGCCCCCUGAUGGCUUUCAUUUUUAAUCAUCAUAAUCUGAUAAGAGGCUGUUUAGAAAGAUUCUACAUUUCCUAACUCCUAAUUCAGUGUCCGUUUGAAAGGCAGUAACUAAAAUGGAAAGGCUUUUCAUAUGUACUACAAAGGGUAUAAUGAUUGGGAGCAGAAUGCUAAACAUUUUGGAAGUGUCCAGUGGGUCCUCAGGUUACGUUGGAGAUCUGUUCCUACGGCGUGAUGUAACACGAUUUUCGCCAUAAGUCGGAACCCACCUACAUAAGCACCUACGUCACUCACAUGGAGCACAUACACAGCAGUAAUGAAGUGA